CCGGCACGGGUGAGUAACACGUAUCCAACCUGCCGUCUACUCUUGGACAGCCUUCUGAAAGGAAGAUUAAUACAAGAUGGCAUCAUGAGUUCACAUGUUCACAUGAUUAAAGGUAUUCCGGUAGACGAUGGGGAUGCGUUCCAUUAGAUAGUAGGCGGGGUAACGGCCCACCUAGUCUUCGAUGGAUAGGGGUUCUGAGAGGAAGGUCCCCCACACUGGAACUGAGACACGGUCCAA
rnacentral:rRNA from 1 species